AACAGUUCGUCUAGGCCAAGUGUGGCUCCAAAAACUAUCCUUAGUGGGUCAAAAUCCAGUCCUCGCCAAAGUAACAGGUCACCCAAGCCAGGUGUGGUUCCAGGAACUAUUCUGAGCGAGUCAAAAUCCAGUUCAAUCAAAAGCAACAGCCAAGGGAGACUAACCAGAAAGGAUGUGCGGCUGCACAAACUUGUUUUUGAGGAUGAUAUACUGCCAGAUGGUACCGAAGUGGGUUA